ACUCCUACGGGUGGCAGCAGUGGGGAAUAUUGCACAAUGGGCGCAAGCCUGAUGCAGCCAUGCCGCGUGUAUGAAGAAGGCCUUCGGGUUGUAAAGUACUUUCAGCAGUGAGGAAGGCGGAGUCGUUAAUAGCGGCCUCGUUUGACGUUAGCUGCAGAAGAAGCACCGGCUAACUCCGUGCCAGCAGCCGCGGUAAUACGGAGGGUGCGAGCGUUAAUCGGAAUUACUGGGCGUAAAGCGCAUGCAGGUGGUUUGUUAAGUCAGAUGUGAAAGCCCGGGGCUCAACCUCGGAAUUGCAUUUGAAACUGGCAGACUAGAGUACUGUAGAGGGGGGUAGAAUUUCAGGUGUAGCGGUGAAAUGCGUAGAGAUCUGAAGGAAUACCGGUGGCGAAGGCGGCCCCCUGGACAGAUACUGACACUCAGAUGCGAAAGCGUGGGGAGCAAACAGGAUUAGAUACCCUGGUA
rnacentral:rRNA from 1 species